rnacentral:rRNA from 1 species
UUACUGGGGGGCGUUAUGUCCCUGACAUUGCCUCUUCUGGAGUUGACGCAAGGCCGCCAGUAGGUGUAAAGUGACCUUGCCUAGCCGAUGGGGGACGGGGUAUCUAGCGGGUUAAAGACAUGAUAGGAAUUGACGUAUUGUGGGCUCUUUUGUGAUUCUUUGUCUGGCUUGGCUGGGCUGUUCGCAUAUCAUCUAGUUAGUGCUCUGAAGCUUUCCCUCCGCGACCACGGCCAGCCCGUGUGAAAUGGCCAGGGGGCACCCUGCUAGUCGUAGGCUUAAUACAGGGAGUGGCCGGUUUGAGUGGACGUUAUUGUUCAAUGCUUGCAAGCCUGAUGCGCCCACACCUCUUGAGGGAUGAUGGCCCGCUGGUUGGAAACCUCUUAGAUCACUCUCUAAGCCUUCGGGUGACGGUACCUGCAGAAGAAGCGCCGGCUAACUACGUGCCAGCAGCCGCGGUAAUACGUAGGGCGCGAGCGUUAUCCGGAAUUAUUGGGCGUAAAGAGCUCGUAGACGGUUUGUCGCGUCUGCCGUGAAAAGUCCGGGGCUUAACCCCAGGAUCUGCGGUGGGUACGGGCAGACUAGAGUGCAGUAGGGGAGACCGGAAUUCCUGGUGUAGCGGUGAAAUGCGCAGAUAUCAGGAGGAACACCGAUGGCGAAGGCAGGUCUCUGGGCUGUUACUGACGCUGAGGAGCGAAAACAUGGGGAGCGAACAGGAUUAGAUAACCUGGUAGUCCAUGCCGUAAACGUUGGGCACUAGGUGUGGGGGACAUUCCACGUUUUCCGCGCCGCAGCUAACGCAUUAAGUGCCCCGCCUGGGGGAGUACGGCCGCAAGGCUAAAACUCAAAGGAAUUGACGGGGGCCCGCACAAGCGGCGGAGCAUGCGGAUUAAUUCGAUGCAACGCGAAGAACCUUACCAAGGCUUGACAUGUUCUCGAUCGCCACAGAGAUGUGGUUUCCCCUUUGGGGCGGGUUCACAGGUGGUGCAUGGUUGUCGUCAGCUCGUGUCGUGAGAUGUUGGGUUAAGUCCCGCAACGAGCGCAACCCUCGUUCCAUGUUGCCAGCGGGUUAUGCCGGGGACUCAUGGGAGACUGCCGGGGUCAACUCGGAGGAAGGUGGGGACGACGUCAAAUCAUCAUGCCCCUUAUGUCUUGGGCUUCACGCAUGCUACAAUGGCCGGUACAAUGGGUUACGAUAACCUGAGGAGGAGUUAAUCCCAAAAAGCCGGUCUCAGUUCGGAUUGGGGUCUGCAACUCGACCCCAUGAAGUCGGAGUCGCUAGUAAUCGCAGAUCAGCAACGGUGCGGUGAAUACGUUCCCCGGCCUUGUACACACCGCCCGUCAAGUCACGAAAGUCUGGAACACCCGAAGCCGGUGGCCCAACCCUGAGUUGACCCGGUCGCCGUAYUNC